rnacentral:rRNA from 1 species
GAUGAACGCUGGCGGCGUGCUUAACACAUGCAAGUCGAACGGGAAACAUUUUAUUGAAGCUUCGGCAGAUCUAGCUUGUUUCUAGUGGCGGACGGGUGAGUAACGCGUGGGUAACCUGCCUCACACUGGGGGAUAACAGUCAGAAAUGGCUGCUAAUACCGCAUAAGCGCACAGCAUCGCAUGAUGCAGUGUGAAAAACUCCGGUGGUGUGAGAUGGACCCGCGUUGGAUUAGCUAGUUGGCAGGGCAGCGGCCUACCAAGGCGACGAUCCAUAGCCGGCCUGAGAGGGUGAACGGCCACAUUGGGACUGAGACACGGCCCAGACUCCUACGGGAGGCAGCAGUGGGGAAUAUUGCACAAUGGGGGAAACCCUGAUGCAGCGACGCCGCGUGAAGGAAGAAGUAUCUCGGUAU